rnacentral:lncRNA from 1 species
UUAUCUGGCUCUUCGAUGUUCCCGGAUCCGGGUGUUCAACAGCUCGUUGUCAAUUCCCCCUCUCUCGUCAUCCAGCUCGCCUCUCGUAGUGGCCUCAAAUUCCUGUUAAUUAUUCCAAUUAUUAUUCCAAUUUCCAAUUGAUUAACCGAAAAUUAUUUUUUUGUUUAAUUAAAAAAAAAAUCUGUUCACAUUCAUGCAACCCUGCCCACCCCCCCUCAAUUUCAGUGCAAAUUAUUCAAAAUGGUGGCCGUCUGACAUGUUGAUUGUGAUUGCUGUGGACUGUGGUAUGCUGGUGUGAUUGUGAUAAAAUUCUCAUUCUGAGCUGGCUUAAACUGCUGUCCAUUUUGCCAAACAGUCGUCAGUUGUUACCUGUACCGCUUUACGUCUCAUCCCAUGUAGAAACACGUCAGAGCAGUUUUAACCGGUUGGUGAAAGGUGUAGUAAAGUCAGGUUGAGCUGCUACAUGCAAGUGCUGGUGUUAUCCUGACCCGUGUAGAAGUGUAACCUAACUGCAUGAAGUUUCUUGAAAUAGACCACUGGCAAGGAGAUAUUUCAACUGUACGAUGCUGCUCAAUAUGCAGUUGUUUUGUACCCGUUUCCAGUUCAUUUCCAGUUCAAGCUGUUGCUUGCUGUCUGUGGUGCUGCUGUUAUCCUGGAAUGUGUUGAUUGUCAACACCUUUGUGUGUACUGUGUGAGGUCCUGUCACCAGGGCUGCGCCUCACAAGUCACAACUGUUUGCCACGCAAAUUACUACUCCGCUGCCUCGCUAAUCAUCUCAGAGCCCCAACUACUACACCAGAGCUCCGACGUCCUCAUCUGGUUUCUGAUUAUAACUUCGCCGCCGCCCUCACCUCCGCUGAGCUGAGAGGAUUGACUUGCCAAUUGCUGCAUCACUUCGUCGACUACUUCCUCACCGCGCUGACCACCAAAGCGCCUCGCUGACUACUCCUUCGCCUUUGCGUGAAUUAUUACACUGCCGUGCCAACACCAAUCUGCUGCACCAAUUUUAGCUUUGUGGGCGCCGAACACUGGUUUACACCGUCGCUGGUCAUUACUACAUUGCUGCCUACAACCACACCGCAGCUCUGGCUGCUACUACUCCUCGGCUACGACUACUACUUCAUCUCCACUCUGACCGGUACCUCACCGCUGCUCCAGCUGAUACUUCACCGCUACUCCGACUGAUACUACACCGGUGCUCCGACUGUGACUUCACUGCUGCUCCGGCUGAUACUACUCCACUGCACUGUCUGCUACUACUACGCUGCUCCGACUGCUACUGCACACGCUCUCAGACAUUGAGCGGCAUAAAAUAGUCAUCAUCUCUUGGCUGAUUCCAUCUUCUGGAUAGCCUAGAUCAGUGCUACCAUAUGUAAGUAUCCUGCAAUGUGUUCAUCAUAUUCAUAAUUUUUGUUGGAUAAGUUAUGCACCAUGCUCCAUAUCACAACGCAUUCC